UCUUGUUUAUUUACUUAAUAUGCUACGUCACUAAGAUGAGAAAUGCAUCCAUCCAUAAAAAAAAACCUGCUAGAGCAUCAUCAAAUUUUGCAACAUUAUCAGAAUUUCAUCAUAGAAUAGUAUGAUAUCGCAUCAUAGAAUAGUAUGAUAUCUCAUUUAUAUAUAGAUGAUUAUAAGUACUAUACAGUGUAGAGAGGGGAGCGACGUGAACUCACACUCUCCCAUAUAGGUCCGCCUCUCAUUGCCAGUACACAUAUUUAUUCAAAUUUGAGCCCGCAUAAAAUAACAUUAGUGAAUAGUAGCAAUAAAGAGAUUAAUAUUAUAGUCCAAAUGAUGCUUUAGUGAUAUUAUAUUAGAUCCUCAAAAAUAAUGAGUAUUAGUUGACCUCAAAGAUUAAAUUUUCUAGUAAUAUCAUAUUAGAUCCUCUGCAUCUGUGAGGGCUAUUGAAUCUGUUGUCCCAACAAUCUCUCAAAGUUAAACAUGUUCAUGAUUUCCUUUACAUUUCAUCGUCUCUACAGAUUUUACCACUUUACAGCUUCUAACACACUCCUCAAUGGCCUCCUUUUCACCCAACCUCACCACAUCUUCACUUUUAAACCCUCUUAGCGCCAUACCAAAAUUGACUAUUUUACAACAAACCCAUUGCCUUCAUCUUCGUCAGAUUUUGAUUCAGUUGUCAAAAGGGUCUGUUCUUUAGUGUGUGAAUCAUAUUGUAAAUUUUAAAAAAAUAGCCAUUUCAAAUCCACAGCUCCCAAGUUGAAACUGCCUAUAGAUUCUGAGUAUUUGACUCAAGAACAGGCUAUAACAGUUGUUGCCUCUCUUGCUGAUGAGGGAGGCUCAAUGCUAGCAUUGAGUUUCUUUUAUUGGGCUAUUGAGUAUGUGAAAUUCAGGCAUUUUAUGAGGCUUUAUAUAGUUUUAGCUAUGUAUUUGAUUAAAAAUGGAAACUUUGAGAGAGCACAUGAACUGAUGCAUUUUAUGCUGAGGAAUUUUGGUGAAAUUGUCACGUUGAAAGAGGCUACAGAUAUGGUGUUUGAGAUGCAAAAUCAAGGGUUGGUUUUGUAUGCUUAGAGUUUGAAUUCUGUUGUUAGUGUUGCUACUGAGAUGGGCCAUGUUGAGAUGGCAGAGAAGAUGUUCGGUGAAAUGUGUGACAGAGGAGUGUGUCCUGAUUCUUUUUGUGUAGUGUUAAAAAGGCAUAAUUAAGCAAGCAUUUGAGUUGUUAGAGGAUGGUGAAUGAGGCAGACCAAAAUAAUGCACUUGGGCCUGGGAAUGGUUUACGCCAGGGUCAAGUGAUUAAACAGCCCAACACAAGGUUAUUGGACUACCAUUGGGACCCGAGUUGAGAUACACGUGUCGAAGAGUUACUGGGCAAGAAGAAAUGUAGUUGGUAUAAUUAUCAGUUUGUGCGAGGAGGAGAGCAUGCGAAUUAUGUUGAGGCUUCCGCUGAGUCUAUUCUUCUCAUCUCUAUCUUUCUAAUGUCUUAAACUUCUCAUCCCUUUCUGGUUAUCCUUUCCUUGUUCCUCUAAUUCCUAGUUAAUUGUUGUUCUUCAUUCCAUUAGUAUUUCCUUUUACAGUGUUAUUUCGUUCAGUGAUUAUAAAAUACAAGUCUCUGUUUGUGUUGUGAAUUGGUUUGUCACAGAGGAAAUGGUUAAAAAAGGUUUUAUACCAAAUGUUUUCACUCAUACUGCAUUGAUUGACGGUCUUUGCAAGAAGGGCUGGAUGGAUAAGGCAUUUAGACUAUUCUUAAAGCUUGUGAAGAUUGAUAACUACAAGCCUAAUGAGCAUCCUUAUACAGCCAUUAUAGCUGGAUAUUGCAAACAGGAAAAAUUGAAUCGAGCAGAGAUGCUUUUGAGCAGAAUGCAAGAGCAAGGUUUGGUCCCUAACGCCAACACCUACACUGCAAGCUAGCCGAUAACAGCAAGCUUUUAACCUUUUCAGUAAGAUAGUCAAAGCUGGUAUCAGCCCUGAUAUGCAUACAUACACCACAUAAAUGACCUAUGUAGCAUCGGCUUUGGACUAUCUCCAUAACGGUUAUUCAGAGCCACUGGUGCAUUGUGAUUUGAAGCCUAGCAAUGUUUUGCUAGAUCAAAACAUGGUUGGCCAUUUAAGUGAUUUUGGUAUUGCAAAACUGUUAGGUAUAGAGGAUAGUCCUAGACAAACUAAGACUAUUGGGACCAUUGGAUACAUUGCGCCAGGUACCUAAACUUCUUCUAUUGCCAUUAUCUUUCUCGUAUCAUCAUUCAUCUGUGGAACUAUUAUAAAAAACUGAGCUGAUGAUUUCUCACUUGUCGUUGCAAAGUAAGGACAAGAUGGACUUGUAUCAACAAGUUGCGACGUGUAUAACUUUGGUGUUGUGAUGUUGGAAGCAUUCAUGAGGAGGAGGCCUGACGAUGAAAUGUUUACUGGAGAUUUAAGCAUAAGAAAUUGGGUGAACGACUCGUUUUCAUGGUCUAUUCCCAUUUUUAUCAAAACCUAGGUUUUUCAACAAAAUACUAAAAUCUCUACAAUUUUCAUGUUAAGAUCUGCCCAUAAUCUAGGUAUUAAACUCAUAUUGUGUAGAAUACACUUACCUCAAGAUGCUAGGUGAAAAUCCCUAUAUACAAAGCUCCAAAAUCGGCUUACAAAUGAGAAAAAUGAAAAAAAAGGGCCAAAAUCCCGAUUUUUAUUAAGUCACUGCCCAGGUCUGCCUUCUUCGCGAUUGCGGACAAGCCCUCGCGAUUGCGAAAGCAAAAGUCACGAACCCAGAAAAUGUCCUCUUCGCGAUCGCGAGAAGACACUCGUGAACGCGAUGCACUGAGCCGCCCUCUCAUCGUGAACGCGUGCCCCCACUCGCGAACGCGAAAGGCAACUGGGUUGCCUGGGACCUGGCCCAGGUCUUCCACGCGAACGCGACGAGUCAACCGCGAACGCGAAGGCCACUACCCAAGCCUCUGCAAACGCUACCCCGACUUUGCGAACAACAUCACCCAAUCCCCAAAUCCUUCUUCACGAUCGCGAGGGUCCUUACGUGUUCGCGAAGAAGGAAACCAGAACAGCACAUCAACAAUUUUGGAGUCAGCUUCGAGGGGUCUGAAACGCACCCGAGCCCCCCGAAACCCAGUCCAAAUGCACUAACAAGUCUAUAACCAUAAUACGGACCUGCUCGAACCCUCAGAACACAUAAAACAACAUCGAAACUAUGAAUCGCACCCCAAAACCAAAUUGAAUCAACUUAUAAACUUUAACUUCUUAACUAGCUCCGAACGUGCCGAAUUAUACUUAGACUAUUCGGAAUGACACCAAAUUUUGCGCACAAGUCAUAAAUCACCAUACAGACCUAUUCCCAGGCUCGAAAUCUCAAAUGGACCUCGAUAACACCAAAGUCUAUUCCAAAUAAAAUUUAAAGAACUAGAAAACCUUCAAUGCACCAAUUUUCAACAUUAAGCACCGAAAUGCUCCCGGAUCACCCGAAACACAAUUCAAACACACGCCUAAGUCCAAAAUCAUCAUACGAACCUAUUGGAACCAUCAAAUACCGGUUCCGAGGACGUUUACUUAAAACGUUGACUCAAGUCAAACUUGGCCAUCAUAUGCCACUAUUAAGGAACUAAGUAUUCUGAUUUCAACUUAAACCCUUCCAAACCUAAACCAACCAUCCCCGCAAGUCAUAAAAUAGUAAAAUCACAUACGGAAAGUCCUAAUUAAGGGAACGUGGAUCUAGAAAGAAAAAUGACCGGUCGGGUCGUUACAACCCGGAGUCACAAAUCUAAUAUGGAACAAAUAUGCCAAACCAAACCCGAGCCAAUUCACUAAUUUAGAAUUCAAAAUCCAGUUAUCUCCUAAUCACAUACUCAUAUGAUCAAAUUAACUCAAGUAAACAAAUACAAUUAACAGCCAAUGAGGGAAAAUGACAGAAAGUAUACCUAUCGGACUUGGACAUGCGUGGUGAGAAUUGAUUUCAAUCCGCCAAGUGAAACUCCGGCCGGUUAAGGAACUCUGGCAAGUAAUGGGGAUUGUAACAUGAGCACUGGCAGGAAUUUCUUCACAUGGACAGUGCUACAUGUAGCAAUUCUCAUCAUAUGCCAGAAAAGGGGAAAAAGCAAAGGUUCCAAAUGGUUCUGGCCGGUCAACGCAGUUUGACCGGAUUCGGGCGG
rnacentral:lncRNA from 1 species